ACGAAUAUUUAUCAAGGCUUAAUAACGGAACUCAAGCUUCUUGUGCAAACUUGAGGCAUGACGAGAAGGGCAUGAUCAUAAUUAAAGUACAGAGAAGAAGAGGAGUGCAUUGAUUUCAGCUAAGCUUCAGCACGCGCUCGAGACUCUGAUGAUAAUUGCAAUUCAUAAAAGACUGCAACAAAACUACUAGUAUAACAAUAUCACUACACUCCCCAUCACAUGACUUGUUACU
rnacentral:lncRNA from 1 species